GUUUCCGCGUCCACGCCAGGUUUUGCGUUUCAGUGUGACCCGGUCCGGUACGACUCUGUAAUGGGAAAUCUCCAAACGGAAAUAUCUGCAAAUGGGAAUAUCUCCAACGGGAAUAUCUCCGAAUGGGAAUAUGCUGGAGUGGCCAGGGAGACCCCGUUGUCAGGCUGAUCAUUCCCGAAGAAGAUGCGGAGUGGCGUGGUGUUCCUGCCUCAGGCCCCGGCCUCCACACGCCACACACCUCAUCAUUCAGCCACUCCUAAUUAAACAAGAGUGAUGUGUGCUUUGUGUUUACCUCCAGACCAGCUCCAAGAACGGGGCUCACACACUUUUAGAAAACUGGAUUCUUGAAGUAAAGCCAUUUUGUAGGUUUUGAAACAUUCUACUACAACACACAACUUUUUAUGACCAGUUGUGUGUUAAAUGCUUCUAACAGCAGGCCUGGGAACAGA